GGCUUUCUUCGCGGCGGAGCUCGACCGCCCACAGCGUUGAUCGUCGAGUUCAUCGACGCCAAUAAGGCCGACUACGGGGUCGAGCCGAUCUGCGAUGUUCUGCAGUUCGCCCCG
rfam:Candidatus Microthrix parvicella RN1 genomic scaffold, 2605